rnacentral:rRNA from 1 species
AACGCGAAGAACCUUACCAGGGUUGAAUGCACGGUGCACUCGCAGAGAUGCGGGGUCCUUUGGGGUCGUGCACAGGUGGUGCAUGGUUGUCGUCAGCUCGUGUCGUGAGAUGUUGGGUUAAGUCCCGCAACGAGCGCAACCCUCGUCCUGUAUUGCCAGUAGCACCCUCGGGUGGCUGGGGACUUGCGGGAGACUGCCGGGGUCAACUCGGAGGAAGGUGGGGAUGACGUCAAAUCAUCAUGCCCCUUAUGUCCAGGGCUACACACGUGCUACAAUGGCGGUGACAAUGGGAUGCAAUGGGGCAACCCUGCGCAAAUCUCAAAAAGCCGUCUCAGUUCGGAUUGUGCUCUGCAACUCGAGCACAUGAAGUUGGAAUCGCUAGUAAUCGCAGAUCAGCACGCUGCGGUGAAUACGUUCCCGGGUCUUGUACACACCG